rnacentral:rRNA from 1 species
UACGAAGGGUGCAAGCGUUACUCGGAAUUACUGGGCGUAAAGCGUGCGUAGGUGGUUUGUUAAGUCUGUUGUGAAAGCCCCGGGCUCAACCUGGGAAUGGCAAUGGAUACUGGCAAGCUAGAGUGCGGUAGAGGGUAGUGGAAUUCCCGGUGUAGCGGUGAAAUGCGUAGAGAUCGGGAGGAACACCAGUGGCGAAGGCGGCUCCUUGGCCUGUUCUUGACGCUGAGGCGCGAAAGCUAGGGGAGCAACGGG